UACGUAGGUGGCGAGCGUUGUCCGGAUUUACUGGGCGUAAAGGGCGUGCAGGCGGUCUGUUAAGUUCAGGGUGAAAGCUCCCGGCUCAACUGGGAGAGGUCCUUGGAUACUGGCAGACUUGAGGGAGGUAGAGGAGAGUGGAAUUCCUGGUGUAGAGGUGAAAUUCGUAGAUAUCAGGAGGAACACCGGUGGCGAAGGCGGCUUUCUGGACGACAACUGACGCUGAGACGCGAAAGCGUGGGGAGCAAACAGG
rnacentral:rRNA from 1 species